rnacentral:tRNA from 1 species
GAGGGUAUAGCUCAAAAUGUUAGAGCACGUGCUUAGCAUGCACAAAGUCCUGGGUUCAAUCCCCAGUACCUCCU